rnacentral:rRNA from 1 species
GAACGCUGGCGGCGUGUCUAACACAUGCAAGUCGAACGAAGCAUAGAAGACGGAGAUUCGUCAAAGCCUUUAUGACUUAGUGGCGGACGGGUGAGUAAUGUAUGAGCAACCUGCCUUUCAGAGGGGGACAACAGUUGGAAACGACUGCUAAUACCGCGUAAUGUAAUGAAGGGGCAUCCCUUUAUUACCAAAGGAGCAAUCCGCUGAAAGAUGGGCUCAUAUCUGAUUAGCUUGUUGGCGGGGUAACGGCCCACCAAGGCGACGAUCAGUAGCCGGACUGAGAGGUUGAACGGCCACAUUGGGACUGAGAUACGGCCCAGACUCCUACGGGAGGCAGCAGGUGGGGAAUAUUGGGCAAUGGGCGAAAAACGCCUGACCCAGCAACGCCGCGUGAAGGAAGAAGGUCUUCGGAUUGUAAACUUCUUUUAUGAGGGACGAAGGACGUGACGGUACCUCAUGAAUAAGCCACGGCUAACUACGUGCCAGCCGCCGC